UGCGCUAUGGCUUGUCCACAGAUUUCAGCCCCGCCUCUCUCGCAGUUCAUGGCGAAAUCCAUGGCGGAUCGUGCACUUCAGAGCUCUCUAUAAAAUCCAGGGCUGACAUUACAUUCAUAGGAAGUGAAAAAAAAAAUGUUUUUACCAAUAGCUCCUUUUUUACGAUAACUUGAGGUGGUGAAGUUUGGAGAGAAGAUCAAACCCUCCUUGUUCAUCGUUAGUCAGCCUUCAUUCUCCUUCACUGCCUCCGAUCCUGACUGUUAGUAGGGGAUUUUGAUGAACCCCAUUUCCUUUAUUCCGUGUGUCAUUCAGUUCAAGCUAUCAGAUCUGAGGGUUUCCUUUAUUUGUGUGCUUAUCUCUAACUAUUUCACCUCAAAUCUUUUUGGGUGUGCCUUAAAUUUCAUUUUUGGCUCCAUGCAUGGCCGCUUUCUUUAGUAAUAAGCACUCUGAUUCUUUGAUCGUUCAUGUUUUGUUUUUUGUUUUUGUGGGUCAUGCUUAAUAUCCAGUUCUAUCAAGAUUUUCUUCUAUUUAUACGUUUUAUGCAGUUGAUUAGGAUCUAGUAUUAUCUAUUUGGGGUAUUACGAAUAAUAUUUGUACUGGGCUUUUUUAUUAUGAGGGGAAUGCUGCUUAGGAAGCUAAAUCUUAUACGUCUAAACUCGUUUGUUUUUCAUUUGUUUAUAUAUUUGAUAUUAGUCUUUUUCUUCUUAGGGAUUUAUGCAUCUGUUGUUUGAAUCUGUUUCUAAUUUCAAGAUGGUAUUUUUUGGAUGAAUUGCAUGCUGUUGAAUAAGAGCCCUAAAUUCUGUGGAUUAGUUUUCUUCUCCUGUUAUUUGCUCUAAAUUCUAUGAAAUGGUUUGUAUCUUUAUGUUUUAAUUUUUUACAUGUAAAAGGGAUUGUGUUCUUAUUAAUAAUACAAGUUCUAAAUGAUUCUCAUUUGUAACAACUGUGAUCUGGAAUUUGCUUUGCUUGCUUUAGUAUCCUGAUUAUUGAUCUUAGUGUUCGUCUUUCUUCCCCUGUUUAUCAGAAAACUGCACAUGCCCACUGCCCAAUCAUGUAAAACUAGUUUCUAGAGGUAUUAAUCUGUGUAGAGGUAGUGAUGAAAAUCAAUUUUUGGCUGAGGGGAUCUUGUACACAGUCUCUGCUCUUAAAGUUGCACAGAAUUUUUUUACUGUUUUUUUCUCAGCUUGCACGAGUUAGCUUUGAAGUGAUGAUUAGUCUAAAUAAUGGCUUGCUAUUCGUUUUUUAAUUCGAGUUGUUUUUUUAGAGGGAUGUUAGAUUGUAACCGCCCAAGCCCACCGCUAACAAAUAUUGUCCUCUUUGGGUUUUCUCUUUCGAAAUUUUUAAAACGCCUCUGCUAGGGAGAGGUUUCUACACCCUUAUAUAGAAUGCUUCGUUCCCCUCUCCAACAAAUAUGGAAUGGAAUCUCAAAUGGAUGAUGAAAAGUCUAGGAACAUUGAGUUUUGAAGUUCAAGGAGCAACUUAUGAAAUAUUUUAUUUUUGAGACUCAAAAUACUUGCUUUGCUUUAAAAAUUACAUCUGCCCGAUGAUGGAAUACUCCGAUUGGAGCAGUUACUAAUGAUCUUUAUUACUAGCCUUUGCCAUUAACCAGCACAUACAUAAUCUCUCUCUCUCUCUCUCUCUCUCUCUCUCUCUAUAUAUAUAUAUAUAUAUAUAUAUAUAUAUAUCUACACACAUAUCCAUCUAUAAUCCAUCCAUUUGCUUUGUUUGUUUCUUCUUUUCUUAAUGAGUGGUUAAGGAUGUGUAGAGGCUAGUAAUGAAUGAACAGUCUAUCUAGAAAUGAUAAAUAAAUGAGAUCUGAGGGCAUCUUGAACUGUUGUUCUUGUCAGAUUUUACAUUAAUCUAUUUUUGAAUUGUGUUUAUCAAUUAGAAACACUGUUUUAAAAAUUAUUCUAAACGACCUCGUAAUGUUGUAUUUUUAGUUUGAUCUUGAAAGACAACUUCAAUCAAACUAAUCCAUUUUCUUCAAGGGGGGCAUACCUGAUGUUAAUUUCUUUCCUUUUUUUUGUUUAACUUCUAUACAUGUUGGUUUGUUUUAAAAAGUAUUCUGGUGAAGAAAGCUAUUUCGUUGAUAGGAAUGCUAUUAGAGUAUUAUUAGGAUAGUUUAGAUAUUAAAUUAGUAUGUUGAUGAUGAUUAAUAUUGAUAAUGAUUACGGAGUAGCCAAAUAUGAGAUCCCACAUCAGUUGGGGAAGAGAACGAAGCAUUCUUUAGGGUGUGGAAACCUCUCCCUACCAGACGCGUUUUAAAAGAAAACUCGGGACGGAAAGCCCGUGGGGUCUUGGACCGUUACACAAAAUAUGCCUGAUAUCAUUUAGAGCUUAUAAUUUCCUCUAGCAUCUUAAAAUUGCCCCUGCCCAAUGAUGGAAAAACUCGUGCUUUGGAGCAAUUGCUUUGAUUUCUAAUGCUAGCUUUUGCCCUCAACCACUACUAUCUCUUUCUCUCUCUCUCUCUCUCUCUCUGGAAACACACACAUGCAAAUACAUAUAUAUAUAUAUAUAUAUAAAGCCUUUUCCAUUUCCAUUCUUUUCUUUUAUUGUGGUUGGAGAUGAGUAGAGGCUAGUACGCAAAUCAAAUGCAAACAUUGUCAAUGAGGAGCUAAGCUAUGAGAUCUGAGGGCAUUGUGCAAAACUGUCAUCCCUUUUCCUUCUUAAUGAUGCACUUGAAUUUUGAUGCAAUUUAACUUUAAGUUGACGCAGUUGUUUGCUUAGUGCUCUCCUGGUGAUGGGAAAGCUUCAUAGUUUCUAGCAUCUGCCGAGCAGAGGUAUGUCCAAUGUCCUUAUUUUGCAUUCUGUGCCCUUUGGAGUCCUUGCAUGGCCUGUUGUUGUUGUCUUUGCUCAAACCUUUGAUGCUUGAUUGUGGCUGUGAGUUCUUUGAGAUCUUCUAAGGGUGUUUUCUUUUAGGCUAAAUUAUACAAAUUACCCCUGAAAUUUGAGGUAGAACUAUAGUGGCUUAGCUCUUAAAUUUUGCAAUUUUUCGAAAGAAAAUAGAGUUUUCCUUCUUACAUUAACCGACGUCUGAUAUGAUUCUAUCUGUCAUUGCCAUUCAAUCUGUCUGAUAAUUAUUCGCCAUACACGCCGAUGCCAACCGUUCAGCCUCACCCAUCGACAUCCAGCCGUUAGCCAUGCCGAACGCCCAUUGUUGUGCUUCGGUUCAUCGUCCAUAGCCUUAGCACAAUCAAGCACCUCCAACCAAGCAAACUGAAACAGUAACAAAUCUCAACCGUUCUCUUAGAAGUUUUGAUUAGGAAUUAAGUUGAGUUUCCUUGUUAAAGUAAAAUUAGUUGUUCUUCAGAAAAUACACACGCACUUAAUGUUUUACUUAUGAUUUAUGUUUUAUGCUUAUGGUUUAUGAAUUAUAAGCUUACAUUUGGACUGUUUAUGAUUUAUACUUUUAUGCAUACAUUUGGACUAUUUUGAAGCA